GUGCUUGCUUUGGCAGCACGUAUACUAAAAUUAGAAUGAUAGAGAAGAUUAGCAUGGCCCCUGCACAAGGAUGACAUGCAAAUUUGUGAAGCAUUCCAUAUUUUU
rnacentral:snRNA from 1 species